rnacentral:tRNA from 1 species
GGGGGCGGGCUGCGCCCGGAGAAGCCCUCCGUGUCUGCCGCACCGAAGGACGCGGGUUCGAUUCCCGCCACCUCCA